rnacentral:rRNA from 1 species
UACAGAGGGCUCAAGCGUUGUUCGGAUUUAUUGGGCGUAAAGGGUGCGUAGGCGGUGGUGCAAGUCAGGUGUGAAAUCCCGGAGCUCAACUCCGGAACUGCACUUGAUACUGCUUCGCUAGAGUACUGGAGAGGAGACUGGAAUUUACGGUGUAGCAGUGAAAUGCGUAGAUAUCGUAAGGAAGACCAGUGGCGAAGGCGAGUCUCUGGACAGUUACUGACGCUGAGGCACGAAGGCCAGGGGAGCAAACGGG